CUUUGCAUCACUCUCAUCGAACAGGAAGCACCAGGGCGAGUGGAUGGAUUUGAUGGACAGUUCGUAGGAACAAAUGAAGAACGCUGCUUCCACCAAGUCUAGAAGAGUCCGAAAGGGGAAGAAAAGAUCUGACAACAGGACCUUCUAGAUGCCUUUUAAGGACCCUUUCUUUAGACGGAUCAACCGAAUCGAACCAGGAAAUCAGCGACUGGAUAUUAUUCUCCUCCUCCUUCUUCAUCUUUUCUAUUAUAGAGGAUAGCAAGCAACUUUGAGACCGAAUGGGAUGGAUUCACAGACCAGACCUGAGCCAGAGUAACUGAAAGUGGACUCACAGUGAGCGGCUGUCUCUACGAGGCUCUGCAGGCGGCUCCUGUCUGUAGAAAACAGCACAUUCAGAUCCAUG